rnacentral:rRNA from 1 species
AUUGAACGCUGGCGGCAGGCCUAACACAUGCAAGUCGAACGAGUGGCGGACGGGUGAGUAAUGUCUGGGAAACUGCCCGAUGGAGGGGGAUAACUACUGGAAACGGUAGCUAAUACCGCAUACCAUCGGAUGAGCCCAGAUGGGAUUAGCUAGUAGGUGGGGUAAUGGCGCACCUGGGCGCAGGUCCCUAGCUGGUCUGAGCGGAUGACCAGCCACACUGGAACUGAGAGACGGUCCAGACUCCUACGGGAGGCAGCAGUGGGGAAUAUUGCACAAUGGGCGCAAUCCUGAUGCAGCCAUGCCGCGUGUAUGAAGAAGGCCUUCGGGUUGUAAAGUACUUUCAGCGGGGAGGCGUUACCCGCAGAAGAAGCACCGGCUAACUCCGUGCCAGCCGCCGCGGUAAUAC